rnacentral:rRNA from 1 species
GAUGAACGCUAGCGGCAGGCUUAAUACAUGCAAGUCGAGGGGCAGCAUGAUUGUAGCAAUACAAUUGAUGGCGACCGGCAAACGGGUGCGGAACACGUACACAACCUUCCAACAAGUGGGGGAUAGCCCAGAGAAAUUUGGAUUAAUACCCCGUAACAUAGCGAUGUGGCAUCACAUUGCUAUUAUAGAUUUUUCGCUUGUUGAUGGGUGUGCGGCUGAUUAGAUAGUUGGCGGGGUAACGGCCCACCAAGUCUACGAUCAGUAGCUGAUGUGAGAGCAUGAUAGGCCACACGGGCACUGAGACACGGGCCCGACUCCUACGGGAGGCAGCAGUAAGGAAUAUUGGACAAUGGACGCAAGUCUGAUCCAGCCAUGCCGCGUGAAGGAUUAAGGUCCUCUGGAUUGUAAACUUCUUUUAUAAGGGACGAAAAAAGGCUUUUCUAAGUCGUCUGACGGUACCUUAUGAAUAAGCACCGGCUAACUCCGUGCCAGCCGCCGCUGUAACAC